rnacentral:lncRNA from 1 species
GGCGUCCCCUCCUUCUUUUUCUAUCACGGACCACCAGAAAAGGAUGCACAAUAUGUGCCAUAAAAGUUACAAAAAUUUCAAAAAAAAAUUGGGUAAAAUCAAUGCCAUAAAGAAAGAGUUUUGGUUUCCUAAAAUUCUAUCUCAUAGAAUUUCGAAUCCAAACUAAUUCCUACUUUGACUUGGUCCACAACCACAUUCCAUGUAAGAGAGAAAGAGUGGAAAGCUUGGGGCAUGCGUGAAGGCCUGGG